ACUUGACUGGCCUACACAGAGCCCUGACCUCAACCACAUCGAACACCUUUGGGAUGAAUUGGAACUCCGACUGUGAGCAAGGCCUAAUCACCCAGCAUCAGUACCGAACCUCACUAAUGCUCUUGUGGCUGAAUGGAAAUCCCCUCAGCAAUAUUCCACCUUCUAGUGGAAAGCCUUCCCAGAAGAGUGGAGCCUGUUAGAGCAGCAAAGGGGGGACCAACUCCAUAUUAAUGCCCAUGAUUUUGGAAUGAGAUGUUCGACGAGCAGGUGUCCACAUACCUUGUGUUAACAUAAUCUAUGAGCUGCUUUUGGUUGGAAUUUGUGGAGGGUGAUGGCUAUUAGGUAUGUUGUUCAGGCUUCUGAGAAAUUGUAAUGAUCUUGCUCUUGUUGAAGAUAAGUGAAAUAACACGCAUAUGACAUAUUACAUUGUGUACUAAUGUUGCAUUUUUGUGUUUCCAAUAGAUUUGUUUAGAUGUGUUUCAGACAAAGUGACAGCACAUUGUAAUGAMAGGAUUUCACUUGACAAAAAAAAGUACACGUUGAAGAUCGGGCACCAAGACGACACUGUUUACAAAGGAAACAAGAAAGAAAUAGAAGAGUUGAGCAAAUUCUACCUUAAAGAGGAAGUGAAGAUGGUAGUGAUUGGUGUAAUAGAUGGUUUUGAUGAGUGUGAGGCAGAGAGUGGGCAACUGUUGAUUUUGGUAGGUGAGGACUGGAAGGUGUAUGCUUACGAGACAGAGUGUCUUCAUCUGGUUGCAAAGAGUAUGCAAAAUCUGUUUGAAUCAGGGCUGAAUUACCCAGGAAUCAAAACCUUCUACCGUGGCCAGUGUUUUGCAGACAUGACACCAGAAGAAUGGUCUGAUGUUGAACGUGACAGUGAUGAGAUGCAGAAAAAAGAGGAUGCACAUAAGUGUUUCCUGAAGUCAACAGAAGAAGAAUUUAUGAAAAACCUUGAAAUCAUCCAACGCAAAUUACCAACGCAGAUCAUGCAGAAAAAAAAGAUGCCAGAGAAGCAGUGUGAAAGAGCUACAGUAGAACACCCCAAAAAGAAGCCGCGUUCUAAUUGUGAUAAACUGUGUUUAUCCUCUUUAAUAUAAGAUAGGUGUUCCCUAUGACACUGAUGAUGGUUGAGUAACCAAAAUGUUUAUCUAUUGCACUCUUCAUGCACCUUUUGCAUAUAUUUAUAUUGCAAAUUAUAUAUAAUGCUCAUCAGUAUGCUGGUAUCUAUUUGCAUUGACCCCUUUGUUUAUGCUGCUGUUACUUAAUGUUUAUUAUUAAUGCAUAGUCACUUUACCCCUACCUACAGGCACAUAUUACCUCAAUUACCUAAACUAACUUAUAAUGUUACUUUAUUUUUUUAGCAAAUAUUUUCAAACUUUUUUUUUUUACUCUGCAUUGUUGGUUAAGGGCUACACCUGUUG